AUCUAUGGCCAUACCAUCCUGAAUGCGGCUCCCGUCUGAUCUCGGAAGCUAAGCAGGGUCGGGCCUGGUUAGUACUCGGAUGGGAGAAAUUCCAUUCCAUUUAACAAAUGGCUGCUGAAUUUC
rnacentral:rRNA from 1 species